rnacentral:rRNA from 1 species
UACAGAGGUCCCAAGCGUUGUUCGGAUUCACUGGGCGUAAAGGGUGCGUAGGCGGUCGGGUAAGUCUGAUGUGAAAUCUCACAGCUUAACUGUGAAACUGCAUUGGAUACUAUCCGGCUCGAGGAAUGGAGGGGAGACUGGAAUACUUGGCGUAGCAGUGAAAUGCGUAGAUAUCAAGUGGAACACCAGUGGCGAAGGCGAGUCUCUGGACAUUUCCUGACGCUGAGGCACGAAAGCCAGGGAGCAAACGGG